GCUUGCUGGCGGCAGCUACCAUGCAGUCGAGCGGUAACAGAUCCAGCUUGCUGGAUGCUGACGAGCGGCGGACGGGUGAGUAAUGCAUAGGAAUCUGCCCGAUAGUGGGGGAUAACCUGGGGAAACCCAGGCUAAUACCGCAUACGUCCUACGGGAGAAAGGGGGCUUCGGCUCCCGCUAUCGGAUGAGCCUAUGUCGGAUUAGCUAGUUGGUGAGGUAACGGCUCACCAAGGCGACGAUCCGUAGCUGGUCUGAGAGGAUGAUCAGCCACAUCGGGACUGAGACACGGCCCGAACUCCUACGGGAGGCAGCAGUGGGGAAUAUUGGACAAUGGGGGGAACCCUGAUCCAGCCAUGCCGCGUGUGUGAAGAAGGCCCUCGGGUUGUAAAGCACUUUCAGCGAGGAAGAACGCCUAGCGGUUAAUACCCGCUAGGAAAGACAUCACUCGCAGAAGAAGCACCGGCUAACUCCGUGCCAGCAGCCGCGGUAAUACGGAGGGUGCAAGCGUUAAUCGGAAUUACUGGGCGUAAAGCGCGCGUAGGUGGCUUGAUAAGCCGGUUGUGAAAGCCCCGGGCUCAACCUGGGAACGGCAUCCGGAACUGUCAAGCUAGAGUGCAGGAGAGGAAGGUAGAAUUCCCGGUGUAGCGGUGAAAUGCGUAGAGAUCGGGAGGAAUACCAGUGGCGAAGGCGGCCUUCUGGACUGACACUGACACUGAGGUGCGAAAGCGUGUGUAGCAAACAGGAUUAGAUACCUGGGUAGUC
rnacentral:rRNA from 1 species